rnacentral:rRNA from 1 species
CCUACGGGUGGCAGCAGUGAGGAAUAUUGGUCAAUGGCCGUAAGGCUGAACCAGCCAAGUCGCGUGAAGGAAGAAGGAUCUAUGGUUUGUAAACUUCUUUUAUAGGGGAAUAAAGUUAUCCAUGUAUGGAUAUUUGCAUGUACCCUAUGAAUAAGCAUCGGCUAACUCCGUGCCAGCAGCCGCGGUAAUACGGAGGAUGCGAGCGUUAUCCGGAUUUAUUGGGUUUAAAGGGUGCGUAGGUUGUUUUUUAAGUCAGCGGUGAAAGUUUGUGGCUCAACCAUAAAAUUGCAGUUGAAACUGGAAGACUUGAGUAUGGUAGAGGUAGGCGGAAUGCGUGGUGUAGCGGUGAAAUGCAUAGAUAUCGCGCAGAACUCCGAUUGCGAAGGCAGCGUACUGGCGCCAGACUGACGCUGAGGCACGAAAGCGUGGGGAUCGAACAGGAUUAGAUACCCUAGUAGUC